CUGGCGGCGUGCUUAACACAUGCAAGUCGAACGGUGACGAGGAGCUUGCUCCUCUGAUCAGUGGCGAACGGGUGAGUAACACGUGAGCAACCUGCCCCAGACUCUGGGAUAACAGUUGGAAACAGCUGCUAAUACCGGAUACGAGACGGAGAGGCAUCUCUACCGUCUGGAAAGUUUUUCGGUCUGGGAUGGACUCGCGGCCUAUCAGCUAGUUGGUGAGGUAAUGGCUCACCAAGGCGACGACGGGUAGCCGGCCUGAGAGGGCGACCGGCCACACUGGGACUGAGACACGGCCCAGACUCCUACGGGAGGCAGCAGUGGGGAAUAUUGCACAAUGGGCGAAAGCCUGAUGCAGCGACGCCGCGUGAGGGAUGACGGCCUUCGGGUUGUAAACCUCUUUCAGCAGGGAAGAAGCGAAAGUGACGGUACCUGCAAAAGAGAGCACCGGCUA
rnacentral:rRNA from 1 species